AACGCUAGCGGCAGGCUUAACACAUGCAAGUCGAGGGGCAGCGGGUCGUAGCAAUACGAUGCCGGCGACCGGCGCAAGGGUGCGUAACGCGUGAGCAAUCUGCCCGUAUCAGGGGGGAUAAGCGAUGGAAACGUCGUCUAAUACCGCAUAACACAUUGAACGGCAUCGUUUGAUGUUGAAAGCUUCGGUGGAUACGGAUGAGCUCGCGAGACAUUAGUUAGUUGGCGGGGUAACGGCCCACCAAGACCGCGAUGUCUAGGGGAACUGAGAGGUUGGUCCCCCACACUGGAACUGAGACACGGUCCAGACUCCUACGGGAGGCAGCAGUGAGGAAUAUUGGACAAUGGCCGGAAGGCUGAUCCAGCCAUGCCGCGUGAAGGAUAAGGUCCUAUGGAUUGUAAACCGCUUUUGUUGGGGAGCAAUAAGUCUUACGUGUAAGAUGAUGAGAGUACCCAGCGAAUAAGCAUCGGCUAACUCCGUGCC
rnacentral:rRNA from 1 species